rnacentral:tRNA from 1 species
GCAGGUGUGGCUCAGUUUGUAGAGCACUUGCCUUGCAUGCAUGAGGCCCUGGGUUCAAUCCUCAGUGUUGUA